rnacentral:lncRNA from 1 species
UAGUGCUAUUGGGAUUACAUAUCAUACAUUCAAAAUAGACUUAUAUCCACCAACCCAGAAGCAAUUCUGCCUCCCUGUACCUUUGACUAACAACACUACGGUACUUCAUGAACAUUCACUAUUCUUUCCAAGGAAACUCCAGUUUCAAUUCAUGCUCAGGAGGAAUCUGCUCUGAUAGAAAACCAUGGUUAUUGCAGUCAGAGGAUAAGCACUGGAAUUCACUUAACUGUCAAGAAGCGAAGAGUUCAAGAGAGUCUGGUCAUGGAAAAGUAGUGGAUGGACAUGAAAAGGAGUCUGGAAACAGCAUUCUGACAAAGAGGCAAAGAAUGAGGAGAAGCCUAAGAGUAGCUGGGCAAAAACUGGAAAAAAAAGCCACAAGGAGAAAUGAGAUAAACACUCGUUGUAUUGCAAUACCUGUACUAUAUCAGAAAGCCUCUGCCACAUGGAGAGUAGGGAGGAAAAUUUGCUAAGAUGUUAGCAAAAGGUGAGACUGGACAUGGCUAUGAAUGAGACUAAAAACUGGGAAAAGUAUUUGGAGUAAGAACUAAAGUGGCUACAUAGGAAAUGCGGAAGUGUAUAUGCAAAGCAGAAAGGAAAUUUGACUAAGACAGUGGGUACGCAGGCAGAUGAAACUCAUACUUCCCAUCUCUGAGUUUUCAGCUUCUCAGCCUAAACCUACCUUCCAAAAAGUCUUUUUCACAAUUACUUUCAACUUUGUCCUCCAGUUUCCAUUCAGUUUCUCUCUCAAUCUUUUAAGACUCAGAAGACGUGUUUUUAACCUCAAGCCGAUCCAAGCACCAGCAGCCAGGCUAAGGCUCACAGUGGCCCAGAUGAAAAGAAUUGCAUUGCAAAUCACAGAACUGAUGCCUCAUUGCUAUUCUGGCUCAGAACUGCUCUAAGAAAGAAAUUUAUUAUGAGUCAGAACUAGUUCAGUAGGAAAGGCCCAGGUGCUAACUGAUGAGACAACCACAUGUCUGGGGUAUAUGCACAAGCUCUUAUUAGAUGUAGGAGAUGCAAAGGGGAGAAAUAUAUUCAUCUGCCAUCUCUUACAAACUAUGAAAGAAAAGAGUAUGCUUAGUGAUUAUGAUAGAGUAUUAGAAAUUAAGUUCCAGGAAGUCCCUGCUAACUAUACAUACACAGAGCACACAAACCUCAGUUUUUCAAAAGAUAAUAAAUCUUGAAGGAAGGGAAUGGGGAAGGAAGAU